rnacentral:rRNA from 1 species
UACGUAGGCAGCGAGCGUUGUUCGGAAUGACUGGGCGUAAAGGGCGCGUAGGCGGUUCGUACAGUCAGGCGUGAAAUUCCCGGGCUUAACCUGGGGGCUGCGUUUGAUACGUGCGGGCUUGAGUUCGGAAGAGGGUCGUGGAAUUCCCAGUGUAGAGGUGAAAUUCGUAGAUAUUGGGAAGAACACCGGUGGCGAAGGCGGCGACCUGGUCCGAUACUGACGCUGAGGCGCGAAAGCGUGGAGAGCAAACAGG